GCAAAAGAAGUAGGUAGCUUAACCUUCGGGAGGGCGCUUACCACUUUGUGAUUCAUGACUGGGGUGAAGUCGUAACAAGGUAACCGUAGGGGAACCUGCGGUUGGAUCACCUCCUUACCUUAAAGAAGC
rnacentral:rRNA from 61 species